GCAUCCAUGUCUUGUAUUUGGAAUGAAAUGACAACAAACCUUUCUAUGAGUAUCAAUUGGAGGGCAAGUCUGGUGCCAGCAGCCGCGGUAAUUCCAGCUCCAAUAGCGUAUAUUAAAAUUGUUGCGGUUAAAAAGCUCGUAGUUGAAUUUCUGUUGAGGGUGGUUGGUCCGCCCUCUGGGUGAGUAUCUGACACAACCUGAACAUUUUCUUGAUUGCACAACUGUACUUGACUGUGUGGGGUGGUGUUGAGAAGGUUUACUUUGAGGAAAUCAGCGUGUUUCAAGCAAGUCUUGCUUUGAAUACAUUAGCAUGGAAUAAUAUUCAAGGACCUUUGUUCUAUUUUGUUGGUUUCUGGAAUGAAGGUAAUGAAAAAUAGGGAUAGUUGGGGGUAUUUGUAUUUAAUUGUCAAAGGUGAAAUUCUUGGAUUUAUUAAAAACAAACUAUUGCGAAAGCAUUUGCCAAGGAUGUUUUCAUUGAUCAAAAACGAAAGUUAGGGGAUCGAAAACAAUCAAAUACCGUCCUAGUCUUAACCAUAAACUAUGCCAACUAGAGAUUGAACGUUGUUAUUUGCAUGACAUUUUCAGCACCUUAUGAAAAAUUGAAGUCUUUGGGUUCCGGGGGAAGUAUGGUCGCAAGGCUGAAACUUAAAGGAAUUGACGGAAGGGCACCACCAGGAGUGGAGCCUGCGGCUUAAUUUGACUCAACCACGG
rnacentral:rRNA from 1 species